AAGCGUUGUUCGGAAUUACUGGGCGUAAAGGGCUCGUAGGCGGCCAACUAAGUCAGACGUGAAAUCCCUCAGCUUAACUGGGGAACUGCGUCUGAUACUGGAUGGCUUGGAUUCGGGAGAGGAAUGCGGAAUUCCAGGUGUAGCGGUGAAAUGCGUAGAUAUCUGGAGGAACACCGGUGGCGAAGGCGGCAUUCUGGACCGAUAUUGACGCUGAGGAGCGAAAGCCAGGGGAGCAAACGGGAUUAGAUACCCCGGUAGUCCUGGCCCUAAACGAUGAAUGCUUGGUGUGGCGGGUAUCGAUCCCUGCCGUGCCGAAGCUAACGCAUUAAGCAUUCCGCCUGGGGAGUACGGUCGCAAGGCUG
rnacentral:rRNA from 1 species